rnacentral:rRNA from 1 species
UGAGGAAUAUUGGACAAUGGGCGGGAGCCUGAUCCAGCCAUGCCGCGUGCAGGAAGACUGCCCUAUGGGUUGUAAACUGCUUUUAUACAGGAAGAAUAAGCCUUACGUGUAAGGUGAUGACGGUACUGUAAGAAUAAGGACCGGCUAACUCCGUGCCAGCAGCCGCGGUAAUACGGAGGGUCCGAGCGUUAUCCGGAAUUAUUGGGUUUAAAGGGUCCGUAGGCGGAUGAUUAAGUCAGGGGUGAAAGUUUGCAGCUCAACUGUAAAAUUGCCUUUGAUACUGGUUAUCUUGAGUUGUAUUGAAGUAGGCGGAAUAUGUAGUGUAGCGGUGAAAUGCAUAGAUAUUACAUAGAACACCAAUUGCGAAGGCAGAUCACUAACUAUAUACUGACGCUGAUGGACGAAAGCGUGGGGAGCGAACGGGAUUAGAUACCCCGGUAGUCCACGCCGUAAACGAUGGAUACUAGCUGUUGGAUUUUCUCAGUGGCUAAGCGAAAGUGAUAAGUAUCCCACCUGGGGAGUACGUUCGCAAGAAUGAAACCCAAAGGAAUUGACGGGGGCCCGCACAAGCGGUGGAGCAUGUGGUUUAAUUCGAUGAUACGCGAGGAACCUUACC